rnacentral:rRNA from 1 species
UACGUAGGGCGCAAGCGUUAUCCGGAAUUAUUGGGCGUAAAGAGCUCGUAGGCGGCUUGUCGCGUCGACUGUGAAAACUCGGGGCUCAACUCCGAGCUUGCAGUCGAUACGGGCAGGCUAGAGUUCGGUAGGGGAGACUGGAAUUCCUGGUGUAGCGGUGAAAUGCGCAGAUAUCAGGAGGAACACCGGUGGCGAAGGCGGGUCUCUGGGCCGAUACUGACGCUGAGGAGCGAAAGCGUGGGGAGCGAACAGG